UAGUUCUGCUUAGCGCAGUGCAGCAAUGUGGGGAACACCGCUUCGCAGUGGUGCUACGAUCGGCCAAUUCUUCGAAUUCAAUUAAGAAAAUGUUCAGCGUCUGAAAGUGGUAGGUAUUUGAUGUGUUCAUUUACCUUGUACAUAAUGAAAUACAUACAUAUACUAGUGGGGUAAUUCCAUGAAAUAGCGCUGCUUGCAGUUUGCGCACCUACUAAAAGACGGUCGCUGCUCAGAACACUGCAGGUCUAUUCCAUUUAAAAUGGAAAUUCUCAGCCAUCGUUAGCUUCUUUCUGCUACUCUCAACAGACAUAGGAAUCUCCACCGAUGGUUCUAACGAUGGCACCACAGCGAUGGAACGCCAGCAACAACCGAUUCUUCUGAUACUUCGGACCCACCGACACCACCCAUCAAGAAGCGGAAGACAAUGUGAAGACCUUGACAGAUGGAAUUUUGAAGGAGGUAGGAGCACAGAAUGAAAUGCAGAGCGAUUUCAUUGGACCGCCACCUUGCAAUGCAUUCGAGUGACGACAUUACCUUCAUAAUAAUUUGCCUUGAAGAACAAAAUUAUUCUUUACUGUUGCUGCUGGAGUGGUAACCUCAGCCAGUUGAUGCCUUAAUCAUCAACUGGCUGGUGAAGCCACUGCAGCAGCAACAGUCCAGACCAAUCUUGUUAUUGAAGACAAAGUUAGGACCGGAGCCAAAGGAAAUCUGGACUCGGACUAUCUGCUGAUAACAUUUUGAUAACGUUUUUACAAAUUGAAUGAAAUUAGAUAACUAAAUACUCGGACUCAUUUAAAAACGAGGGGCAACGUUGUGAGUCGCUGCUACGGCCGCGACUCUACAUUCAUACCCGAUACUCA